rnacentral:rRNA from 1 species
UCUGGUGACAAUAGCAAAGAGGUCACACCUGUUCCCAUGCCGAACACAGAAGUUAAGCUCCUUAGCGCCGAUGGUAGUCGGACUAACGUUCCGCUAGAGUAGGACGUUGCCAGGC